AUUGAACGCUGGCGGCAGGCCUAACACAUGCAAGUCGAGCAGCAGCGGGAAAGUAGCUUGCUACUUUUGCCGGCGAGCGGCGGACGGGUGAGUAAUGCCUGGGAAAUUGCCCAGUCGAGGGGGAUAACAGUUGGAAACGACUGCUAAUACCGCAUACGCCCUACGGGGGAAAGCAGGGGACCUCCGGGCCUUGCGCGAUUGGAUAUGCACAGGUGGGAUUAGCUAGUUGGUGAGGUAAUGGCUCACCAAGGCGACGAUCCCUAGCUGGUCUGAGAGGAUGAUCAGCCACACUGGAACUGAGACACGGUCCAGACUCCUACGGGAGGCAGCAGUGGGGAAUAUUGCACAAUGGGGGAAACCCUGAUGCAGCCAUGCCGCGUGUGUGAAGAAGGCCUUCGGGUUGUAAAGCACUUUCAGCGAGGAGGAAAGGUUGAUGCCUAAUACGUAUCAACUGUGACGUUACUCGCAGAAGAAGCACCGGCUAACUCCGUGCCAGCCGCCGCAGUAACAC
rnacentral:rRNA from 1 species